AGGUACUUCCUGUGGACAAUUUGUGGACUAUUAAGAGAGCACUGCCCAUGGUGUUCUCAUCUUUCAGCUAGCAAGAGGAAGAACUCCUAACUGUCAGCCGUCGCGGGAGAGAUGCUCUGUGCACAGCAAGAAGAACGCUAGGCUAUCUCUCAUUCUCAGAUGGACGCAUCCAGGACCCCAUGGGCUUCAGGCUGUGAGAAGGUUUGGAUGCUUGAACAAAGAUAAAAAUCUGAAAACCAAGUGGAAACUCUAAGUCGCCGGGAGUCGGGCGUUCUGGAGAGGAAGUUCGGGGCUGGCUGCACUGCCAGCUGCUCGCCAGGAAAGCACUCUGUGGCUCGAACAAUGAAGAUGAAGAGAAUGUUCCCACAAGCUGUCAGUUGCUUUUCAUCUUUGCCAGUCUAAUGGAGAGAACCUGGGUUGGCAGAGUCUUCUGUCCCACCCGGUCCUGUAAUAAACAGUAUCCGGUUUAGUUUUCCCUGCCUAGCUCUGUUCUGCCCUACCACAGGCCAAAGCAGCUUCUUUAUUCAUUAACCAAUAAAAGCAACACACAUACAGAAGGACUUCCCACACCAAACACGAUAGUUCAGUGUUGUUGGUACAGUUUGCAUUUCCCUUAAUUGCUUGAAAGCUCCGACAUUUUCUUGCUUUUCUUAUCCUUUUGGAUUUGGUCUUUUAUGAUAUUUUCCCAUUAAUGUCAUUUAUCCCAUUUUCUAUUGGCUCACAUUAUGUGUUCUGUUUUACUUUGUUUCAGAUGUUUGUCGUUUAUAUAAUCUUUUGCAAAUAAAAUUCAACUUUA